rnacentral:rRNA from 1 species
GUGUCAGCCGCCGCGGUAAUACAUAGGUGGCUAGCGUUACUCGGAAUCACUGGGCAUAAAGGGCGUGUAGGCGGACGUAUAAGUCCGAUGUGAAAUCCCCCGGCUCAACCGGGGAAGGUCAUUGGAUACUGUACGUCUUGAGUGCGGGAGGGGAGAAUGGAACUCUUGGUGGAGCGGUGAAAUGCGUAGAUAUCAAGAGGAACGCCGGUGGCGAAAGCGGUUCUCUGGCCCGCAACUGACGCUGAGGCGCGAAAGCUAGGGGAGCAAACGGGAUUAGAUACCCUUGUAGUCC